rnacentral:sRNA from 1 species
AAAAAUAAUAUAUAAUAAUAAAAAUGCUGAAGAAAAAAAAUAUUUUUUAACAUAUUAUUAAAUAUUUUAUGAUGAGUUUUUUUAUAUUUUUCAUAUAUUUUAUAAUUGUUAGGAUCUUAAUAUUAUUUCAUUUAAUUAUAAAUAAAUAAAUAUAUAUUUAUAUAUAAUAUAUAUUUUAACCAUAAGUAUAUAUUUACAUAUUAUUAUCUUGCUUUUUCAAUUUUAUUAAUUAUUUUAUAAUAUAUUCACAUGAAAAAAGUUUUUUAGAAUUCAAUAAUUCAUACAAUAAUAAAAACAACUUUUUUACCAUUUUAUUUUCAGUACGUAUAAAUACUAUUUUUCAAAAUUGGAAAUAAAAAACAAAGGAAAACCACGAAAAAAUUAUUUAUUAUGUUAAUAAUUUGAUUACCCAUUUAACAAUUUAUUGUACCCCAAUAUAGGCAUGUUAAGUAAAAUAAGUGGGGGUGUAUACAUAUAUAAUAUAUAAUGAUAUGUGCAUUCUUUUUUUGAAUACAUUUUUAUUAUAUCGUUUAUAUACCAAAUGAACAUAAAAUUGAACUACAUAAAUAUGCCAUUUUUUCAUGAAGUCAAAUCUUAGGUUAAAAAUGUAAUCCGUAUGAAUUGUCAUUUGACAAACAUCUGUGAAAGGGAUACAAAAACAUAAAGUAUUUUUUUUUUAUAUAUGUUCAAGUGAAUAUGUCCUCAUGAGGGCAAAUAAAUAUAAUGUAAAAUAUUCUUUUACUUUAAAUAUUUUUAAUUUUUAAAAUUUCAGAUUAUAAAGAUAUU